rnacentral:lncRNA from 15 species
AUGUGGUGCAAGACCUGUAGUAAAGUGACAGACCGGGAGCAGACUUCGCUGAUGAUUCUGGAGAAACUAUUGCCAGAGCAGUACAGCCACACUGUGUGCAGCUAUGAGACGACAGGGGACAUCAGUUUCAGGGCAGCCAUAAAGCUGAAGCUGUCCAGUGAGGAAGAGGCAAAGAGGUGGCUUGAAGACUUCCAGAGCUCCUCUGGCUUCACAUGGAGAGUGUCCAAAACCUACCCCAACGGUGGGCGCUACAACAAGUAUAGAGUGGACUACCGGUGCCAACGUAACACCUUUGGGUGCUCGAGGAGGACGAUGAACACUUCUUGCCCUGCUACUCUGUACCUGAUCUUGAAAAGGCAUCCAGAAUGUGGAGAGCGGAAGUCGAGAUCAGGAGAUCCUCACAUGAAGGAGGGACUCUUCCUUCACAUUAACUUACGCAAUGAGCACAACCACGGUGCUUAUGAAGCCGUGACGAGGAGUGAUGUAUCGGGAGAGACCAUUGAAAAGCUGAAAAAGCUGUUUGAAAGUGGCCACUCUCCUUCCUCGGCACUCGACGUGCUAAAGUACGAUUUACAAGAGGAGGAACAGGACAACUAUGUGUACGCCGCUGCAGAUCGUUCCGUCUGUCCAGAUUUGCAGUUUUGUUACAGGUUGUACUACAAACAGUUCAAAAAAGCACACAGCGCAGCAGCAGGGGAGGAACUGUUCAAAGAUCUUGAACAAACCCUUGAUGAUUACAACAAGGAGCAAGGGGAUGUCUGCGCCACGAUGUGCAAAACCUCUGACAAUCAGUUGGUCAUUGCCAUCUGCACUCCAAUGAUGAAGAGGGUCCACGCCAGGCUGAGAGAGAGCAGCGAGAUGGUGUUUGUGGACUCCUCUGGGAACUGUGAACGCAACAAUCACCGCCUUUUCCUGCUCCUCACCCACUCCUCGGCCGGUGGUUUGCCUUUGGGUGUAUUUAUCACCACGUCCGAAAGCCAGCCAACUCUCUCAGCUGCCAUAGAGCUGCUGCAGACUGUCCUUCCACCUGAGAGGUUCUUUGGCCACCCAGAAGGACCUCUUGUUAUCAUGACUGACGAUUGGUCCGCACUCAGACAGGCACUGCAUGAGGCAUACCCAGAAGCCACAUUGGUCCUCUGUGUGUUCCGUGUGGUUCUUCAGGCCAUGUGGAGAUGGCUGUGGAGCAGUUCAAAUGAAGUUAUCAAGCAGCACAGGGCCCACCUCCUGAGGUCCUUCAGAAGUCUGGUGUAUGCCUCCACACCAGCAGCUCUCAUGGAAGGCUACACAAGGCUGAGGGAGGACCACGUCGCCUCACAGCACCCAAAGUUUGUGCAGCACCUGCAGGAGGUCUUCCAGCGGCGAGAGGAGUGGGCCAUCUGCCUGCAUGCGCAACUGCCCACCAGAGGGAACCAUACCAACAACUAUGUGGAAAGUGCCAUGAGGGUGGUGAAAGAGAAGGUCCUCCACCAACUGAAAGCCUACAAUGUGAGACAGUUGGUGGACUUUGUGUUCACAAGGAUGGAGGCACACUACAUCCGCCGCCUCACAGAUUUCUCCAACAAUCGGUUACAAACUUCUCUUAAGAAGGUGUUGGAAACAGAGGACAUCGGGAGAUACUCCAUUGUGCAGGAAGACCAAGACAACUACACUGUGACAAGCUCAUCGAAUGCUGCAGUGUCCUACCAUGUCGACAUGGCAAUAGGCUGCUGCACAUGCCCAGUAGGGUUUAAGGGUGGGCACUGUAAGCACCAAAGUGUGGUAGCCAGGGUGUUUGGACAUAAUGACGCCUUCCGUCAUGGCUUGUUACCGGACACACAGAAGCUUUACAAUCACAUUGCCACUGGUGAACGGCCCAUCAAGGAAAGGCUGAACAGAAUGUUCCUGGACAUCACCAAGAAACUGGACAACCCUCACUUCACUCAUUCCAUCACUUCAUUUGUGAAGACGUACGAAAACAUUAAAACAGACAGUGCCAUGGUGUCAGCUCUUUCCUCAUUUGGAAAGUCUCUUCCAACAAAGGCCAGAGGCUGCAAAAGACCGAGGGGCUACCUGCAAACCUGCGCACAAAUUGGAAGGCAUCCGACAGCUUUGUCAAGGAGGAAAACGUCUUUGGGUGGAAUAAGGGUCCUGAGCAGCGGGCGACCCCCAAAGGCGAUGAGAAAGGAGCACGCCUAUGGAAGAACUGUAAGUGCUCCGCACGCAAUUGCGCACUGUGUGGAGGAGAGCAUGUGCCACUAA